rnacentral:rRNA from 1 species
UACGGGGGGGGCAAGCGUUGUUCGGAAUUACUGGGCGUAAGGGGCUCGUAGGCGGCCAACUAAGUCAGACGUGAAAUCCCCCGGCUUAACCAGGGAACUGCGUCUGAUACUGGAUGGCUUGAGUUUGGGAGAGGGAUGCGGAAUUCCAGGUGUAGCGGUGAAAUGCGUAGAUAUCUGGAGGAACACCGGUGGCGAAGGCGACAUCCUGGACCAACACUGACGCUGAGUGAGCGAAAGCCAGGGGAGCAAACGGG